rnacentral:tRNA from 1 species
UAGCUCAGACAGUAAAGCGUCUGCCUACAAUGCAGGAGACCCGGGUUCAAUCCCUGG